rnacentral:rRNA from 1 species
GAUGAACGCUGGCGGCGUGCCUAAUACAUGCAAGUCGAGCGAACAGAUGAGGAUUUUGCUCCUCUGACGUUAUCGGCGGACGGGUGAGUAACACGUGGAUAACCUACCUAUAAGACUGGGAUAACUUCGGGAAACCGGAGCUAAUACCGGAUAAUAUAUUGAACCGCAUGGUUCAAUAGUGAAAGACGGUUUUGCUGUCACUUAUAGAUGGAUCCGCGUCGCAUUAGCUAGUUGGUAAGGUAACGGCUUACCAAGGCAACGAUGCGUAGCCGACCUGAGAGGGUGAUCGGCCACACUGGAACUGAGACACGGUCCAGACUCCUACGGGAGGCAGCAGUAGGGAAUCUUCCGCAAUGGGCGAAAGCCUGACGGAGCAACGCCGCGUGAGUGAUGAAGGUCUUCGGAUCGUAAAACUCUGUUAUUAGGGAAGAACAAAUGUGUAAGUAACUAUGCACGUCUUGACGGUACCUAAUCAGAAAGCCACGGCUAACUACGUG